CCUGCAGAUAAAGUUGAUAUACCUGCUUAUAGCCAUACUACACUGAAACACAUGUAGAUAUAUACAUUUAAAUAUAUAGAGAGAGAGCUUUUUAGUCGGUGCAUUUUACAACGACAUUUCGAUUAUAAUUGGGAAUUUAAGAGAAAGCUCGAGUUUAAUCGUGCGGUCCUGUUCUGUUGUCUAAUGGCUGGUGAUAGAUUCACUGCAGCGGCAUCAAAACACAUGACAGAGCAUCAUGCGGAGCGUUCGGAUCAGCUGGUCGUUAUAUGGGAUCAUUAAAGACCGAGGUUUUCUGUAGAGUGAAGAGAAUGCUGAUGAGGAUGGUGAGAAGGAGGAGGAAGAUUUCCAGAUGCCGACACAGCAGUGGGCAAUCGUUCCAUCACUGAUUCUUGCACUGGAAGUGUAAACAUUUUCGACUGGCCAUUUUUCAAUCUCAGCAGUCAAACCUCAUGGACCACAGAGCUCAGAGAGACAAGAGCAGGGCCAGCUAUUUUGGAAAUGUCAAGAACAGGUAAGGUUUGGCUUCGUCUAAAGGAAUAGAUGAAAAAAGAAAUCAUCAAUGUUUAGAUCAAGCUCAUAAAGAAACCUGUGUCAUUAUUUUUCAUUAGAUUGGGAUCAAAGCUGCCGGCUGGAAUUUCGCAGCCUCCAGGCUUCAUUACGGCUCAGUGUUCCAUUGGCACGCAGGGUGCACUGGGGAAGAGUGUUGGGCAGGAGUGUGCCAAAGGACAUCACCAAAUCCGGAACCCCAAACUGAGACAGUACUAUCUAAAGGGUAUGUGAAUGACCAUUUACAAUGAUUGACAAUUAACUGAUUUGUAAGGCACCUAACCAUACACUUAUACUUUAAUAGUGUUGUUGGAAAUGUCAAGAACAGGUAAGGUUUGGCUUCGUCUAAAGGAAUAGAUGAAAAAAGAAAUCAUCAAUGUUUAGAUCAAGCUCAUAAAGAAACCUGUGUCAUUAUUUUUCAUUAGAUUGGGAUCAAAGCUGCCGGCUGGAAUUUCGCAGCCUCCAGGCUUCAUUACGGCUCAGUGUUCCAUUGGCACGCAGGGUGCACUGGGGAAGAGUGUUGGGCAGGAGUGUGCCAAAGGACAUCACCAAAUCCGGAACCCCAAACUGAGACAGUACUAUCUAAAGGGUAUGUGAAUGACCAUUUACAAUGAUUGACAAUUAACUGAUUUGUAAGGCACCUAACCAUACACUUAUACUUUAUAUCUUUUUUGAUUAUGGCAAACAGAGCUAGGAUUAAGGAUUUGCACUAUUGUUCAAAGUUUUGGGGUCAGUAAGAUUUGUUUUUAAAG
rnacentral:lncRNA from 1 species